rnacentral:rRNA from 2 species
GGGGAAUCUUCCGCAAUGGACGAAAGUCUGACGGAGCAACGCCGCGUGAGUGAUGAAGGCUUUCGGGUCGUAAAACUCUGUUGUUAGGGAAGAACAAGUACGAGAGUAACUGCUCGUACCUUGACGGUACCUAACCAGAAAGCCACGGCUAACUACGUGCCAGCAGCCGCGGUAAUACGUAGGUGGCAAGCGUUAUCCGGAAUUAUUGGGCGUAAAGCGCGCGCAGGCGGUUUCUUAAGUCUGAUGUGAAAGCCCACGGCUCAACCGUGGAGGGUCAUUGGAAACUGGGGAACUUGAGUGCAGAAGAGAAAAGCGGAAUUCCACGUGUAGCGGUGAAAUGCGUAGAGAUGUGGAGGAACACCAGUGGCGAAGGCGGCUUUUUGGUCUGUAACUGACGCUGAGGCGCGAAAGCGUGGGGAGCAAACAGGAUUAGAUACCCUGGUAGUCC